rnacentral:rRNA from 1 species
GAUGAACGCUGGCGGCGUGCUUAACACAUGCAAGUCGAACGGAAAGGCUCCUGCUUGCCGGGGUACUCGAGUGGCGAACGGGUGAGUAACACGUGGGUGAUCUGCCCUGCACUUCGGGAUAAGCCUGGGAAACUGGGUCUAAUACCGGAUAGGACGAUGGUUUGGAUGCCAUUGUGGAAAGUUUUUCGGUGUGGGAUGAGCUCGCGGCCUAUCAGCUUGUUGGUGGGGUAAUGGCCUACCAAGGCGUCGACGGGUAGCCGGCCUGAGAGGGUGUACGGCCACAUUGGGACUGAGGUACGGCCCAGACUCCUACGGGAGGCAGCAGUGGGGAAUAUUGCACAAUGGGCGGAAGCCUGAUGCAGCGACGCCGCGUGGGGGAUGACGGCCUUCGGGUUGUAAACUCCUUUCGCUAGGGACGAAGCGCAAGUGACGGUACCUGGAGAAGAAGCACCGGCUAACUACGUG